UACAGAGGUCUCAAGCGUUGUUCGGAUUCAUUGGGCGUAAAGGGUGCGUAGGUGGCGCCAUAAGUCAGGUGUGAAAUCUCGGAGCUUAACUCCGAAACUGCAUUUGAUACUGUGGUGCUUGAGGACUGGAGAGGAGACUGGAAUUCACGGUGUAGCAGUGAAAUGCGUAGAUAUCGUGAGGAAGACCAGUGGCGAAGGCGGGUCUCUGGACAGUUCCUGACACUGAGGCACGAAGGCCAGGGGAGCAAACGG
rnacentral:rRNA from 1 species